rnacentral:rRNA from 1 species
UGGGGAAUAUUGGUCAAUGGGCGAGAGCCUGAACCAGCCAAGUAGCGUGAAGGAUGACUGCCCUAUGGGUUGUAAACUUCUUUUAUAAAGGAAUAAAGUCGGGUAUGUAUACCCGUUUGCAUGUACUUUAUGAAUAAGGAUCGGCUAACUCCGUGCCAGCAGCCGCGGUAAUACGGAGGAUCCGAGCGUUAUCCGGAUUUAUUGGGUUUAAAGGGAGCGUAGAUGGAUGUUUAAGUCAGUUGUGAAAGUUUGCGGCUCAACCGUAAAAUUGCAGUUGAUACUGGAUAUCUUGAGUGCAGUUGAGGCAGGCGGAAUUCGUGGUGUAGCGGUGAAAUGCUUAGAUAUCACGAAGAACUCCGAUUGCGAAGGCAGCCUGCUAAGCUGCAACUGACAUUGAGGCUCGAAAGUGUGGGUAUCAAACAGGAUUAGAUACCCUGGUAGUCCACACGGUAAACGAUGAAUACUCGCUGUUUGCGAUAUACAGCAAGCGGCCAAGCGAAAGCGUUAAGUAUUCCACCUGGGGAGUACGCCGGCAACGGUGAAACUCAAAGGAAUUGACGGGGGCCCGCACAAGCGGAGGAACAUGUGGUUUAAUUCGAUGAUACGCGAGGAACCUUACCCGGGCUUAAAUUGCAGAUGAAUUACGGUGAAAGCCGUAAGCCGCAAGGCAUCUGUGAAGGUGCUGCAUGGUUGUCGUCAGCUCGUGCCGUGAGGUGUCGGCUUAAGUGCCAUAACGAGCGCAACCCUUGUUGUCAGUUACUAACAGGUUCCGCUGAGGACUCUGACAAGACUGCCAUCGUAAGAUGUGAGGAAGGUGGGGAUGACGUCAAAUCAGCACGGCCCUUACGUCCGGGGCUACACACGUGUUACAAUGGGGGGUACAGAGGGCCGCUACCACGCGAGUGGAUGCCAAUCCCCAAAACCUCUCUCAGUUCGGACUGGAGUCUGCAACCCGACUCCACGAAGCUGGAUUCGCUAGUAAUCGCGCAUCAGCCACGGCGCGGUGAAUACGUUCCC